rnacentral:rRNA from 1 species
GAUGAACGCUGGCGGCGUGCCUAAUACAUGCAAGUCGAGCGAACGGACGAGAAGCUUGCUUCUCUGAUGUUAGCGGCGGACGGGUGAGUAACACGUGGAUAACCUACCUAUAAGACUGGGAUAACUUCGGGAAACCGGAGCUAAUACCGGAUAAUAUUUUGAACCGCAUGGUUCAAAAGUGAAAGACGGUCUUGCUGUCACUUAUAGAUGGAUCCGCGCUGCAUUAGCUAGUUGGUAAGGUAACGGCUUACCAAGGCAACGAUGCAUAGCCGACCUGAGAGGGUGAUCGGCCACACUUGAACUGAGGCACGGUCCAGACUCCUACGGGAGGCAGCAGUAGGGAAUCUUCCGCAAUGGGCGAAAGCCUGACGGAGCAACGCCGCGUGAGUGAUGAAGGUCUUCGGAUCGUAAAACUCUGUUAUUAGGGAAGAACAUAUGUGUAAGUAACUGUGCACAUCUUGACGGUACCUAAUCAGAAAGCCACGGCUAACUACGU